rnacentral:lncRNA from 1 species
UGGGGCAGUGGGGCACAAUCCACAGAUCUACCAUCAUUAUGGAAAGAUGGUCCUGCUCUGUUGUGUUUUCAGGAAAAACGAAAGGGCUCCCAGGCCUGCUUGAUGCUUCCAGAUGCCUGGUGACAGGAAUCAAGAACCAGGGAAAGGCCUCAGGAUGCUGAGUUCAGAAAUUGUGAGGAUCGAGGGGUGAGAAAUCGAGAGCAGCCUUGAUGUGUUCUAAUGGCUAAUGCAGAGUCUUUGCUCACAUGUCUACAUACUGAGUACCAUGCUGAAUGCCAGCUUAUUGUAAUCUCAGUGCACCAGAGAUCUAUGAGAAUUUGUGACACAGGAAUCUCUGGACUGGGGAAGCUGAGCAAGUUUUCUUUGAAGAGUGAAGGUGAGUUUAUCUGGAAGAAGAGUCAGGAGAAGAAUGGGGUAGAAUAUUGAAGACAGAAGAAACCAAACACGUAAAAACCCUGGAGCAGGCAGAAUGAAUGGAGGUAUACUUAAUUAAUUAAUUAAUUAAAC